rnacentral:rRNA from 1 species
GCUCUUAACAUGCNAGUCGAACGAUGAACCACUUCGGUGGGGAUUAGUGGCGAACGGGUGAGUAACACGUUGGGCAAUCUGCCCUGCACUCUGGGACAAGCCCUGGAAACGGGGUCUAAUACCGGAUACUGACCCGCCUGGGCAUCCAGGCGGUUCGAAAGCUCCGGCGGUGCAGGAUGAGCCCGCGGCCUAUCAGCUUGUUGGUGAGGUAACGGCUCACCAAGGCGACGACGGGUAGCCGGCCUGAGAGGGCGACCGGCCACACUGGGACUGAGACACGGCCCAGACUCCUACGGGANGGCAGCAGA